AUCGCUUCUCGGCCUUUUGGCUAAGAUCAAAGUGUAGUAUCUGUUCUUAUCAGCUUAAUAUCUGAUACGGUCCUCAUUGAGGGCCCAGAAUAUUAAACUGAUUUUUUGGAAUCAGAUGGGGUGCUCGGAGCUUGCUCCACCCCUGUCACGGGUUGGCCUGGUAUUGCAGUACCUCCAGGAUCGGCCCUCUCCUU
rnacentral:snRNA from 1 species